rnacentral:lncRNA from 1 species
UUGCGGAUAUGAUGAUGGAACGGUCCGAGAUGUGACAAGAAGAGCAUACUCAUCAAGGACCUAAAUCGCGUAACGAUCGCAAAUAAGUAAUGGCAAGGAAUGCCCGUCGGGGCAAGCAUUACCAGGUGCACAUUUUAAACUUAUAGUACAAACAGUAAUAUGCAACAAAUACAUAGUGAAUGACAGUUGCAUAUAGAAUAUGAAACUUGGAAAAACCUGGAUAGGUUACCUAUCCAGGAUGACGUUUCCAAGAGAAAUUCAGUAGAGAAUAUGUAUUAUUCACAAAUUGUGAAUAACAAGACAAUAACAGAAUUCAGUUUAUAUAGAAACUUGGACGAGAGUGAUCAUCCAAGUAAGUAUUCUCAAUAUAAAUCCUAUUAAGAAAAGUAAUGAUCACAUCAACAAAUGUGAAUAAAUGUUUAUAAAAAGGGACAUUUUACAUGUUCAAGAGGAUAAACGACUAAAACUAAUAAUUGUUAACUAACAAUUAAAUAAAGUUUUACCAAAUGAAAUCAUAAAUAUGGAAAUAAUUUGAGGAGUUACUUACAUGGGACGUGAUGUGGUAAUUAUAAUAAGGUCACGCGUACCAUGUGUUGAUCGCUUACUCUGGCCAAGUAAGUAGUGAACACAUGAUAGCAUGAGCUUCUUAUAAUGAGCGCAGUUAUGUCCGAUGUAGUAAGGUCAAGAUGAAUGAAAAUUUAAAGGAUCCUUAGGGUCAAGAAAUCUUAUGGGCAUACUCGUAUAAAUGGUUUUCACGGGAACCAUAAAAACGACGUAUGGCGCACAUAGAAAUAAAUGACCCAAGGAAAUUCGUGACAUAAGUCAUUUCGGACGAAACAACCAUGGUAGACAAAAAGGGCAUUGUAAAACCAAAGUAUAAAUGACCCGCGGGGUCAUAGAAACAAAGGUAUUGCCCACAUGGAAAAACGAUCAAAGUCGUUGACUUUGGUCGUAGUAAAGAAAUGAUGAUGAUGAUGAUAAUCAUCAUUCAUAGUUUAUAAGACUGUCAAGGAUGGUCGAAUAAAGAAUAAAGGUUUGGUUGAAUAAAAGCGAUGGAUUUCGCUAAGACAACCAAACAAAUUAAAACGAAAUCUUAAUGUAUACCGGAAUGCUUGCACUAAUAAUGACUUCGGUAAAGUACCCGGUUGAUGGGUAAGGAUUUAAACACAUGCGUAAACCGAGAAACGGGAACACGAAUUUAAAGUCAAAAGACUCGGAUUAUGAGUUAUGACUGAAAGACCAUAAAAUUUCGCAAACAGAAAUUUUGAUAAUUAUAUUCAACUAUUUUGAGGUUGAACGGGUUGAAUAAAGUAUAAUGCUUGAUGGCAUAAGUAAGCGCAAGCCGGAUAACGGUAAGCUUGAGACAAACCGAUGCUUAAUUGACGUGAGAAGUCAUAGAGUCGGAAGAAUUAUCCGAAAGAAAACGAUUGUAGACACGAACUACAGUCAAAGUUAACGGAUUUCA